rnacentral:rRNA from 1 species
CCUACGGGUGACAGCAGUGGGGAAUAUUGCACAAUGGGGGAAACCCUGAUGCAGUGACGCCGCGUGAGUGAAGAAGUAAUUCGUUAUGUAAAGCUCUAUCAGCAGGGAAGAAAAUGACGGUACCUGAGUAAGAAGCCCCGGCUAACUACGUGCCAGCAGCCGCGGUAAUACGUAGGGGGCAAGCGUUAUCCGGAUUUACUGGGUGGAAAGGGAGCGUAGACGGCAGUGCAAGUCUGGAGUGAAAGGCGGGGGCUCAACCCCCGGACUGCUCUGGAAACUGUACGGCUGGAGUGCAGGAGAGGUAAGUGGAAUUCCUAGUGUAGCGGUGAAAUGCGUAGAUAUUAGGAGGAACACCAGUGGCGAAGGCGGCUUACUGGACUGUAACUGACGUUGAGGCUCGAAAGCGUGGGGAGCAAACAGGAUUAGAUACCCCAGUAGUC